rnacentral:rRNA from 1 species
GACAGAGGGUGCGAACGUUGUUCGGAAUUACUGGGCGUAAAGCGCGUGUAGGCGGCAACGCAAGUCGGGCGUGAAAUCCCACGGCUCAACCGUGGAAGUGCACUCGAAACUGCGUAGCUAGAGUCCUGGAGAGGAAGGUGGAAUGCUUGGUGUAGAGGUGAAAUUCGUAGAUAUUCGGAGGAACACCAGUGGCGAAGGCGGCUCACUGGUCCGGUACUGACGCUGAGGUGCGAAAGCGUGGGGAGCAAACAGG